rnacentral:rRNA from 1 species
GUACUGGAAGGUCCUCAGGCCGAAAGGGGCUCUGCCCGCCCGAGGAUGGGCCGGCGGCCGAUUAGGUAGUUGGUGGGGUAACGGCCCACCAAGCCGAAGAUCGGUACGGGCCAUGAGAGUGGGAGCCCGGAGAUGGACACUGAGACACGGGUCCAGGCCCUACGGGGCGCAGCAGGCGCGAAACCUCCGCAAUGCGGGCAACCGCGACGGGGGGACCCCCAGUGCCGUGGCAACGCCACGGCUUUUCCGGAGUGUAAAAAGCUCCGGGAAUAAGGGCUGGGCAAGGCCGGUGGCAGCCGCCGCGGUAAUACCGGCGGCCCGAGUGGUGGCCGCUAUUAUUGGGCCUAAAGCGUCCGUAGCCGGGCCCGUAAGUCCCUGGCGAAAUCCCACGGCUCAACCGUGGGGCUUGCUGGGGAUACUGCGGGCCUUGGGACCGGGAGAGGCCGGGGGUACCCCUGGGGUAGGGGUGAAAUCCUAUAAUCCCAGGGGGACCGCCAGUGGCGAAGGCGCCCGGCUGGAACGGGUCCGACGGUGAGGGACGAAGGCCAGGGGAGCGAACCGGAUUAGAUACCCGGGUAGUCCUGGCUGUAAAGGAUGCGGGCUAGGUGUCGGGCGAGCUUCGAGCUCGCCCGGUGCCGAAGGGAAGCCGUUAAGCCCGCCGCCUGGGGAGUACGGCCGCA